AAGCUUGUCUCAGUUYGGAUAGGAGUCUGCAACUCGACUCCUUGAAGUUGGAGUCGCUAGUAAUCGCAAAUCAGCUAAGUUGCGGUGAAUACGUUCUCGGGGUUU
rnacentral:rRNA from 1 species